rnacentral:rRNA from 1 species
AACGUAGGUUCCGAGCGUUAUCCGGAUUUACUGGGCGUAAAGCGCGUUCAGGCGGUUUGGCAAGUCGGGCAUGAAAUCUCUCGGCUCAACCGGGAGAGGUUGUCCGAUACUGCUGGACUUGAGGGCAGUAGAGGGUGGUGGAAUUCCGGGUGUAGAGGUGAAAUUCGUAGAUAUCGGGAGGAACACCGGUGGCGAAGGCGGCGAUCUGGGUAGAUACUGACGCUGAGGUGCGAAAGCGUGGGGAGCAAACAGG